rnacentral:rRNA from 1 species
GACGAACGCUGGCGGCGAGCUUAACACAUGCAAGUCGAACGGAAAGGCCCUGCUUUUGUGGGGUGCUCGAGUGGCGAACGGGUGAGUAACACGUGAGUAACCUGCCCUUGACUUUGGGAUAACUUCAGGAAACUGGGGCUAAUACCGGAUAGGAGCUCCUGCUGCAUGGUGGGGGUUGGAAAGUUUCGGCGGUUGGGGAUGGACUCGCGGCUUAUCAGCUUGUUGGUGGGGUAGUGGCUUACCAAGGCUUUGACGGGUAGCCGGCCUGAGAGGGUGACCGGCCACAUUGGGACUGAGAUACGGCCCAGACUCCUACGGGAGGCAGCAGUGGGGAAUAUUGCACAAUGGGCGGAAGCCUGAUGCAGCAACGCCGCGUGCGGGAUGACGGCCUUCGGGUUGUAAACCGCUUUCGCCUGUGACGAAGCGUGAGUGACGGUAAUGGGUAAAGAAGCACCGGCUAACUACGUG